UACGAAGGGGACUAGCGUUGUUCGGAAUCACUGGGCGUAAAGCGCACGUAGGCGGAUAUGUCAGUCAGGGGUGAAAUCCCGGGGCUCAACCUCGGAACUGCCCUUGAUACAGCAUAUCUUGAGUCCGAUAGAGGUGGGUGGAAUUCCUAGUGUAGAGGUGAAAUUCGUAGAUAUUCGCAAGAACACCAGUGGCGAAGGCGGCUCACUGGCCCGGUACUGACGCUGAGGUGCGAAAGCGUGGGGAGCAAACAGG
rnacentral:rRNA from 1 species